CAGGGAAAUCUGGGUAUUUAUCCA
rnacentral:siRNA from 1 species